rnacentral:rRNA from 1 species
GACGAACGCUGGCGGCGUGCCUAAUACAUGCAAGUCGAACGCAGUGGGGACGGGCGAGUAACACGUGGGUAACCUCCCAUCAGAGGGGAUAACACUGGGAAACAGGUGCUAAACCGAUACUGAUGGAUGGACCCGCGGUGCAUUAGCUAGUUGGUGGGGUAACGGCUCACCAAGGCCACGAUGCAUAGCCGGCCGGAGAGGAUGACCGGCCACACUGGAACUGAGACACGGCCCAGACUCCUACGGGAGGCAGCAGUGGGGAAUCUUCGGCAAUGGACGAAAGUCUGACCGAGCAACGCCGCGUGAGUGAAGAAGGUUUUCGGGUCGUAAAACACUGUUGUUAGAGAGGCGUUACCUAACCAGAAAGCCACGGCUAACUCCGUGCCAGCAGCCGCGGUAAUAC